rnacentral:rRNA from 1 species
AUUGAACGCUGGCGGCAGGCCUAACACAUGAAAGUCGAACGAGUGGCGGACGGGUGAGUAAUGGCUGGGAAACUGACCGCUGGAGGGGGAUAACUACUGGAAACCGUAGCUAAUACUGCUUACCAUCGGAUCUGCCCAGGGGGGAGUAGAUAGUGGGGGGGGUAACGGCUCACCAAGGCGACGCGCCAUAGCAGGUCUGAGAGGAUGACCGGCCACACUGGGACUGAGACACGGUCCAGACUCCUACGGGAGGCAGCAGUGGGGAAUCUUGGGCAAUGGGCGCAAGCCUGAUCCAGCCACGCCGCGUGUAUGAAGAAGGCCUUCGGGUUGUAAAAUACUGUCGGCAGGGAAGCGGUAUUCACAAAAGAAGCAACGGCUAACUACGUGCCAGCAGCCGCGGUAAUAC